GUCCCUGUAGCGCAAUGGAUAGUGCGUUGGACUUUUAAUCAAAAGGUUUGAAUCCUACCUGGGAUG